CAGCCGCCGCGGUAAUACGUAGGUGGCAAGCGUUGUCCGGAAUUAUUGGGCGUAAAGGGCUCGCAGGCGGUUUCUUAAGUCUGAUGUGAAAGCCCCCGGCUCAACCGGGGAGGGUCAUUGGAGACUGGGGAACUUGAGUGCAGAAGAGGAGAGUGGAAUUCCACGUGUAGCGGUGAAAUGCGUAGAGAUGUGGAGGAACACCAGUGGCGAAGGCGACUCUCUGGUCUGUAACUGACGCUGAGGAGCGAAAGCGUGGGGAGCGAACAGGAUUAGAUACCCCCGUAGUCCCUGUCUCUUAUAC
rnacentral:rRNA from 1 species